AUUGAACGCUGGCGGCAUGCCUUACACAUGCAAGUCGAACGGUAACAGGUCUUCGGAUGCUGACGAGUGGCGAACGGGUGAGUAAUACAUCGGAACGUGCCCGAUCGUGGGGGAUAACGGAGCGAAAGCUUUGCUAAUACCGCAUACGAUCUACGGAUGAACGCAGGGGACCGCAAGGCCUUGCGCGGACGGAGCGGCCGAUGGCAGAUUAGGUAGUUGGUGGGAUAAAAGCUUACCAAGCCGACGAUCUGUAGCUGGUCUGAGAGGACGACCAGCCACACUGGGACUGAGACACGGCCCAGACUCCUACGGGAGGCAGCAGUGGGGAAUUUUGGACAAUGGGCGAAAGCCUGAUCCAGCCAUGCCGCGUGCAGGAUGAAGGCCUUCGGGUUGUAAACUGCUUUUGUACGGAACGAAAAGCCUCUUUCUAAUAAAGAGAGGUCAUGACGGUACCGUAAGAAUAAGCACCGGCUAACUACGUGCCAGCAGCCGCCGUAAUAC
rnacentral:rRNA from 1 species